GUAAUUCAAAACUUAUGUAACAGCCAAGCCUUCCUCUACUUAUGAGAUCAAGAUAUUUGCAUAGGCUCUUGGACCACGUGGGUUCCCGCAGGUGAUCCCACUUUCAGGUACUUGCUGUGGAGCUUAACUGUGGGCUGAAAGCAGCUCUGAUUGUGGGGGGGGGAGUGCAUGGUUUGUGGCAUGUUGUAUUACUCCUUCAUUUGUAGCCAAGGAGUUAAAAUCCUCAGUUAUUCUGAAAAAACAUAGGCAGACAAGGCCAUACACAGCUUGAACGACCAAGGAGGACGUGUGAUCAUUUCUCUCCUGUCCAAAACAAAAUCUGACUUUAUCUUUUUACUGUGCUGUUGACAACAAAAAAGCCAGCUUUUGGUUUAGUUCACAUCUAAGCACACAAAAUCCCAAGAGCUUUGUAGAACAUUUAUUCAGCUGGCUGGGGUAAAAAACAAAAACAAAAAACCUGUGCUAAAUUUAUUGUAGAAGUUUUUUUUUUCAUGUGUAAAAGUCACACAGAAAUCACAAACUGUGAUGUUAAUAACUUUGCUUGUGCAAAAGGCAACCAAUUAAUUUGGAACGUCGCUCUCUCUCUCUCUCUCUCUCUCUCUCUCUCUCUCUCUCCCUGUAUAAGCAGGACUAUGAACUUGCUGAUAGGCUCCCUCCACCCACCAAGCAAACUGGUAAUGUUUGAGGACAUUCCAUAAUAGCACCAACUGCCAUGUGGCUACUUGCACACAGUGCUUGGAAGUAAAGCUGACCGGACUGCAGAUUUGAUGAUGCUAUGCUCCGAAGCAGCCAGAAGGUGUCUAGGUCUCUCUUGUGCGUAAGAUGCAGGAGCCUUUAAAACAGUGAAUGCAGGACCUGCAGCAAUACAUUUUGUGACCAUAUAUGGGAAUCUUCUACCGAACAAACCAGCAAUAAAAACUCCACAUUGAAUAGAGACUUCUGCAGCAACCAAAGGACAAUGCUUGUAUAAUUUAGUUACUCAAAAAACAUCACUGGAAAUCCAGAAACAAGCAAUUAUCAACCUGGCUUUGUACCAAAGAGAUGGUGAUCUUGGACACCAACCAGUUCCUUCCCAAGGGGCUUUUGUGAGGAUGAGAAGGAGCUGCACUACAUAUCGACAUCACGGUGUGGUGACCAACAGCAUUAUGGUGGGCUCAACAAUUUUGGGGAAGGCUGUUGUGAAAUAUAUAUAUAUGAAUAAGGAAGGCAUCUUCAUUGGCACCUUAGAAGCAGAAUCUAUUUUCAUCUUGCACUUAUGUUCAUUGUUGAAUACGGUUGCUCUGGAGAUCAAUGUAUUGAAAUGUAUCUUAUAUCUGUAUAUAAAAUCUGCAUUUAAUCCCUG